CUCAGGCCCCACCAGCCCCUCAGCCUCUGACACAGCCACCAAUGGCAGAGCCACAAUCCAGGAACGGCCACUUUUGUCAGGGUUUGGCCUGGGGGGAGCAGCAGAGGCAGGAGCACAGGGAUGAGCCCGGUUCCAGGUGUGAGCCACCCCUCCAGCUCAGCUCGGGCCCUGCAGCACCUCGGGGCUCCUGCUCCUCACAGCCGCCCCUCCCGCCUCGGGCCCGUCCCUGCGUAAGCUGGCUGGCAGGAAAAGGUCCAAGAGACUUAUUUAUCCAGGGCUCGUUAAGUCCUACUUCGAAGAUCCAGGCUGUGGACAGAAGGAUUAAAAAUCCUGGCUUUAAUUAACAAAUCUCUCUCUCGAGCCGCCGGUCGGGCACUUUGCUGCUCUUGGCCGGGAGGGCAGGCGGGGGCCGGGCAGUGCCAGCGCCAGCCCAGCUCCAUCCCCAGGCUGCUGAGGGGCUGCCCCCAGCCCGGGAGAGGUCCUGGGCUGCCAGAAACGUCUCCCUCUGGAAAACAGGGCACAGCUGCUUCCCCAAAACCUGGGAACCCUUUCUGGAACAGAACAAAGUUUGCCAGGAAAACUCCAGAUGGACUUAGAGCCCCCGCCAGCUUUUUCUGUCUGGAGGAAGGGACAGAUUGGAGGUGAAUCACUCACUGCCCUGUCCUAAGCAGAUGAAGGUCAAGAUAAUGGGAUCUCAGUGUUUCUGAGAAAUGCCCCUUAAUCAGCACUUCCCUUUGAUGGCUAUUCUUUAAUUCGAGGUUCAGGUUUGAGGAGCUGCCAGGUAACCCCUUUGAACUUCUGCUGAGGUUCACAUGUGGGUUUCCACCUAAAGCCACAGAGCAACAGACCCGCGGCCAAACGCUGACCUGGCACCGAGCAGUGAUGCUGCUCCAAAGGAACUGCUGGGAUAACACCUGCAUCCUACCUGGGAAACUGCUGGGAUAACACCUGCAUCCUACCUGAGAAACUGCUGGAACAACACCUGCAUCCUACCUGAGAAACUGCUGGGAUAACACCUACAUCUUACCUGAGAAACUGCUGGAACAACACCUGCAUCCUACCGGAGAAACUGCUGGGAUAACACCUGCAUCUUACCUGAGGAACUGCUGGAACAACACCUGCAUCCUACCUGAGAAACUGCUGGAACAACAUCUGCAUCCUACCUGAGAAACUGCUGGGAUAACACCUGCAUCUUACCUGAGAAACUGCUGGAACAACACCUGCAUCCUACCUGAGAAACUGCUGGGAUAACACCUGCAUCCUACCUGGAAACUGCUGGGAUAACACCUGCAUCCUACCUGAGAAUGUUUGGAUAAUGCCUGCAUCCAGCCUGAGAAAUUGUUGGAAUAACACCUGCAUUCAGCUUGAGAAACUCAUGAAGGCACUUUCUUUUCCCAAAUAAACCUACUCUGAGCAGCUACAUCUCACACAGACACAGGGAUUCUGUAAGCACCACUCAUCAGAGAAGGAUGAUUAAGGGUCAGAGAGCAGGGAUA